UACGUAGGGGGCUAGCGUUGUCCGGAAUCAUUGGGCGUAAAGCGCGUGUAGGCGGUUCGGUAAGUCCGCUGUGAAAGUCGGGGGCUCAACCCUCGAAUGCCGGUGGAUACUGUCGGACUAGAGUACGGAAGAGGCGAGUGGAAUUCCUGGUGUAGCGGUGAAAUGCGCAGAGUAUCAGGAGGAACACCAAUUGCGAAGGCAGCUCGCUGGGACGUUACUGACGCUGGAGGAGCGAAAGCAUGGGGAGCGAACAGGA
rnacentral:rRNA from 1 species